GAUGAACGCUGGCGGCGUGCUUAACACAUGCAAGUCGAACGAUGAAGCCGGAGCUUGCUCUGGUGAAUUAGUGGCGAACGGGUGAGUAACACGUGAGUAACCUGCCCUUGACUCUGGGAUAAGCGUUGGAAACGACGUCUAAUACCGGAUACGACCUUCGGAGGCAUCUCCUGGGGGUGGAAAGAAUUUCUGUCGAGGAUGGACUCGCGGCCUAUCAGCUAGUUGGUGAGGUAAUGGCUCACCAAGGCGACGACGGGUAGCCGGCCUGGGAGGGUGACCGGCCACACUGGGACUGAGACACGGCCCAGACUCCUACGGGAGGCAGCAGUGGGGAAUAUUGCACAAUGGGCGCAAGCCUGAUGCAGCAACGCCGCGUGAGGGACGACGGCCUUCGGGUUGUAAACCUCUUUUAGUAGGGAAGAAGCGAAAGUGACGGUACCUGCAGAAAAAGCACCGGCUAACUACGUGCCAGCCGCCGCUGUAACAC
rnacentral:rRNA from 1 species